rnacentral:rRNA from 1 species
UACGUAGGGUGCGAGCGUUAAUCGGAAUUACUGGGCGUAAAGAGCUCGUAGGUGGUUUGUCGCGUUGUUCGUGAAAACUCACAGCUUAACUGUGGGCGUGCGGGCGAUACGGGCAGACUGGAGUACUGCAGGGGAGACUGGAAUUCCUGGUGUAGCGGUGAAAUGCGCAGAUAUCAGGAGGAACACCGAUGGCGAAGGCAGGUCUGUGGGCCGAUACUGACGCUGAGGAGCGAAAGCGUGGGGAGCAAACAGG